GAUUGGAUAGCUCAGUCGGUAGAGAAUGAGACUUUAAAUCUUAGGGUUGCCGGUUCGAGCCCCACAUUGGGCA